rnacentral:rRNA from 1 species
GACGAACGCUGGCGGCGUGCUUAACACAUGCAAGUCGAACGGAAAGGCCCUGCUUUUGUGGGGUGCUCGAGUGGCGAACGGGUGAGUAACACGUGAGUAACCUGCCCUUGACUUUGGGAUAACUUCAGGAAACUGGGGCUAAUACCGGAUAGGAGCUCCUGCUGCAUGGUGGGGGUUGGAAAGUUUCGGCGGUUGGGGCUGGACUCGCGGCUUAUCAGCUUGUUGGUGGGGUAGUGGCUUACCAAGGCUGUGACGGGUAGCCGGCCUGAGAGGGUGACCGGCCACAAUGGGACUGAGAUACGGCGCAGACGCCUACGGGAGGCAGCAGUGGGGAAUAUGGCACAAUGGGCGGAAGCCUGAGGCAGCAACGCCGCGUGCGUGAUGACGGCCUUCGGGUGGUAAACCGCUUUCGCCUGUGACGAAGCGUGAGUGACGGUAAUGGGUAAAGAAGCACCGGCUAACUACGUG